AUCUUAACAGAAUGUGAAGAAGAGAGAAAAAGGAAAGAGAAGAGAGGUAAGAAGAGAAUUUUAGUUGUACUUUCUUUCUUUCCCCCUCUCUCUCCCACUCUUUCCAUCCUUUCCUCUUUGUCUCUCCC
rnacentral:precursor_RNA from 1 species